GGGGGCCCGCAAGCGGUGGAGCAUGUGGUUUAAUUCGAUGCAACGCGAAGAACCUUACCUACUCUUGACAUCCAGAGAACUUAGCAGAGAUGCUUUGGUGCCUUCGGGAACUCUGAGACAGGUGCUGCAUGGCUGUCGUCAGCUCGUGUUGUGAAAUGUUGGGUUAAGUCCCGCAACGAGCGCAACCCUUAUCCUUUGUUGCCAUCGGUUCGGCCGGGAACUCAAAGGAGACUGCCAGUGAUAAACUGGAGGAAGGUGGGGAUGACGUCAAGUCAUCAUGGCCCUUACGAGUAGGGCUACACACGUGCUACAAUGGCGUAUACAAAGAGAAGCGACCUCGCGAGAGCAAGCGGACCUCAUAAAGUACGUCGUAGUCCGGAUUGGAGUCUGCAACUCGACUCCAUGAAGUCGGAAUCGCUAGUAAUCGUAGAUCAGAAUGCUACGGUGAAUACGUUCCCGGGCCUUGUACACACC
rnacentral:rRNA from 1 species